CAGCCUCGGCUGGUCUGGAAAGAAGGCGGCGGCUGCGCGGAGCCGCAACCUCGCGUGUCCUGUCGUGUCCCCCCCCCCACGCCGGGGCGUCGCACUGCCGGCCGCAGGUAUGCGCGUCCCUGCGCGGAGCUGGGCAACGAAGGCUCUUACCCGCUCCUGAAGGCAGAACAUAAUCCUGCUAGUUCAAAGUAGCUAAAAAAAAAUCAAGAAAAAUCCACCUGUUCAGUUAUUCAAGAUGAGAGAAUAGAAACUGUUAAGAUUUUGAUGGAUACUGCUUCAGCAAUGAUCUCCACAAAUAAAAGCUACGGUCACUGGCAGCUAAUGAGACUUCUUUAUGCACGUGCUGGAAGGACGGAAGCAAGAUGGGAAGGCAGGAAGGCUUCCACGUGUGCUUUCACUCCCCAGUUGUGUACAUCUCCGAAGAGCUGGACCAGGUGCCAAAAAGCACUGCUGGCCUAGCUUCAGCACCUGUUACCUCGCUAUAAAAUCCGAGCAGUUGUUCACAAGCUUUCACACAGCCCACGUGGCUCUUGCGCAUUCCGUCCGUUUGGGAAGUCAGCAUCUGCCCGCAGCACUGAGGUCAGCGUGGGCACCUGAAAGGCUGGGGAACCUCAGAGAAAUGCGUAACACGUGUGGGAAAUUUGUGUGACAAAAAUAUUAAAGCAUUUUGCAGUGAUUUGCAGUUUUAUUACAGAUCUGUCAUCAUUUUAAAAGACAAAUCUUCAGAAAUGGGGUGGUAUUAGAGCACACGGUCAAUUGGGUUCUAAAUUCAGAUGGGGCUCUCUCCUAAUACAAUAA